rnacentral:rRNA from 1 species
AGUGGCGGACGGGUGAGUAACGCGUGAGAAUCUGCCUUCAGGUCGGGGACAACAGAGGGAAACUUCUGCUAAUCCCGGAUGAGCCUUAGGGUAAAAAAUUUAUUGCCUGGAGAUGAGCUCGCGUCUGAUUAGCUAGUUGGUAAGGUAAAAGCUUACCAAGGCAACGAUCAGUAGCUGGUCUGAGAGGAUGAGCAGCCACACUGGGACUGAGACACGGCCCAGACUCCUACGGGAGGCAGCAGUGGGGAAUUUUCCGCAAUGGGCGAAAGCCUGACGGAGCAAGACCGCGUGGGGGAGGAAGGCUCUAGGGUUGUAAACCCCUUUUCUUUGGGAAGAACAAAAUGACGGUACCAAAGGAAUCAGCCUCGGCUAACUCCGUGCCAGCAGCCGCGGUAAUACGGAGGAGGCAAGCGUUAUCCGGAAUGAUUGGGCGUAAAGCGUCCGCAGGUGGCAAUGUAAGUCUGCUGUCAAAACCCAGGGCCCAACUCUGGUCAGGCAGUGGAAACUACAUAGCUAGAGUUCGGUAGGGGCAAAGGGAAUUCCCGGUGUAGCGGUGAAAUGCGUAGAGAUCGGGAAGAACAUCGGUGGCGAAAGCGCUUUGCUAGACCGAAACUGACACUCAGGGACGAAAGCUAGGGGAGCGAAUGGGAUUAGAUACCCC